rnacentral:lncRNA from 1 species
GCCCAUGAUGUCACCAGGCCUGCUGGGCUUGCUCUGCCAAGUAUUCCCAGAGCGGUGAUUUAAUUUUGGCUGUGUCACUACUGCUAUGUCAGCUGUGCUGCCGCGAAAGCAGCUCUCAUGUCGUUCCAGCUGGGCUGUCGCUGUCUUUCAAAAUCCUCGUCGUGUGUGACACUACAAAUGGACAAGUCAGCAAGCUCACACAAAUCACCUAACGUCAUUCAGCUCUUUGGUGGGUGAAACGGAGCCAGGGCGCAAAUCCCACAGAGGUGGAGAGGUGGCCCCCCAGACCCCAUCCCAGCAGCUCACAUUGCAGCCCGUCACUGCUACAGGGCUCUGGACCAGCCGGACUAGCACUAAGCCAGGCCCUACAGUCCCACCUCCAUGCCACAGCACAGGCACGACCCUGAGGACCAACCUUCACCCUCCUGAAACUCCACAAAUUGGUGUCUGCAAAGAAGGAACCAGAAGCUGCAACCUCCUGCUCAUUCCUUCUCAUGGAAACAGGAGGCAACACAAGGCAGAAACCACCACAUGAUCCAGAUCCAAAGAAGCAUUUGUAUUCCUAACUGCUGUGGAGGUACAGAAAUCUCAGUGAAAUCAGAAGGAUCUCAGCACCCAGAGAGAAGCCAGCUGAUUCUGCCAGUUGAGCAUGGAAAGACACCAGAGUGGAGAAAAUCAUCGGGAGAAAAGGCUUUUGGAGCGAAGAUCGCCGUACGUCACUUGAAGAAAGUUGCUAGAAUUAGCUCACUUGAAUUCCUGUGGAGCUGGGAGGUGUUUGGAGGUAAACCCAAAUUCAUCCACGAUAAUAAGCUCUCCAUCAGGAUGAAUUCAGGCUUAGCUGCAGCCUUUCUGGUUCUCGUUGCUGUGUUACAGCACAGAGCUCUCUGCAACCUGAGGAAUCGCUGCCCGCCGGGGCAUCUCCCCUCAGAAAGCAUGGGACAGCAGCUCCCACUGCAAGUCCUGGCUCAGGAUGGAUCCCCCAAAAUCUAUCUAGAGAGACCUUUUCUGGGCUACAAAAAUGAAUUAGACACAUACAGCCCCUGGGCAAUAAAAAUAAAAUGA